GACGGAGGGGGCUAGCGUUGUUCGGAAUUACUGGGCGUGAAGAGUGCGUAGGCGGUUCAGUAAGUUGGAAGCGAAAGCCCGAGGCUUAACCUCGGAACUGAUUUCGAAACUACUAAUCUAGAGUGUGGUAGGGGAUGACGGAAUUCCUAGUGUAGAGGUGAAAUUCUCAGAUAUUAGGAUGAUCACCGGUGGAGAAGGCGGUCGUCUAGGCUACAACUGACGCUGAUGCCCGAAAGCGUGGGG
rnacentral:rRNA from 1 species